rnacentral:rRNA from 1 species
GACGAACGCUGGCGGCGUGCCUAAUACAUGCAAGUAGAACGCUGAAGAGAGGAGCUUGCUCUUCUUGGAUGAGUUGCGAACGGGUGAGUAACGCGUAGGUAACCUGCCUUGUAGCGGGGGAUAACUAUUGGAAACGAUAGCUAAUACCGCAUAACAAUGGAUGACACAUGUCAUUUAUUUGAAAGGGGCAAUUGCUCCACUACAAGAUGGACCUGCGUUGUAUUAGCUAGUAGGUGAGGUAAUGGCUCACCUAGGCGACGAUACAUAGCCGAUCUGAGAGGGCGGUCGGCCACCCUGGGACUGAGACACGGCCCAGACUCCCACGGGAGGCAGCAGUAGGGAAUCUUCGGCAAUGGGGGCAACCCUGACCGAGCAACGCCGCGUGAGUGAAGAAGGUUUUCGGAUCGUAAAGCUCUGUUGUAAGUCAAGAACGGGUGUGAGAGUGGAAAGUUCACACUGUGACGGUAGCUUAUCAGAAAGGGACGGCUAACUACGUG